AAAUUAAAUUUGGUUUUUAAAGAAAAAAUUCUAAUUUUUUUAUACAUUUUUUAAAAAACAAAAAAUAGAAAAUUUAUUUUUUUAAAUAAUUAAUAAUUAUUAAGAGUUAGAGUAAAUUUCUAGCUAAAUUUGUGCCAGCAGCAGCGGUUAGACAAAUAGAAAAAUUCUUUUUAUAAUAAAAUUUAAAAAAUAAAUUUAAUUAAAGUUAUUAAAAAUUAAGGUGAAAUUUUUUUUUAAUUAAAUCUUGUAUAAAAUUAAAAUUCUUAUAAUAAACUAGGAUUAGAUACCCUAUUAUUUAGAGCUUUACAUUGUAAGUAAAUAAUAAUUACGAAAGCAAAAAAUUAUGGCGGUAUUUUAAGCUUCUCAGAGGAAUUUGCUCUUUAAUGGAUAAAACACCUAAAUCUUACUUAAAUUUGUUAAGUCAAUUUGUAUACCACUAUUAAAUUAAUUAAUAAUUUUAAUUUAUAAAAUUUAUAUAAAUUUAAAAAAAAUUAAGUCAAGGUGCAGUAAAAGUUUAAGAAUGAAGUGAAUUACAAUUCUUUUAAGAGAUUAUUUAAAUUAAAAUUUUAAUUUAGGAUUUGAAAGUAAAAUUAAAAUAGAAUGUUAAUUUGAAUUAAGCUCUAAAAUAUGUACAUAUCGCCCGUCACUCUUUAUUAAGAUAAGUCGUAACAAAGUUAAAAUACUGGAAAGUGUUUU
rnacentral:rRNA from 1 species